rnacentral:rRNA from 1 species
ACUAAGCGUACACGGUGGAUGCCCUGGCAGUCAGAGGCGAUGAAGGACGUGCUAAUCUGCGAUAAGCGUCGGUAAGGUGAUAUGAACCGUUAUAACCGGCGAUUUCCGAAUGGGGAAACCCAGUGUGAUUCGUCACACUAUCAUUAACUGAAUCCAUAGGUUAAUGAGGCGAACCGGGGGAACUGAAACAUCUAAGUACCCCGAGGAAAAGAAAUCAACCGAGAUUCCCCCAGUAGCGGCGAGCGAACGGGGAGCAGCCCAGAGCCUGAAUCAGUGUGUGUGUUAGUGGAAGCGUCUGGAAAGGCGCGCGAUACAGGGUGACAGCCCCGUACACAAAAAUGCACAUGCUGUGAGCUCGAUGAGUAGGGCGGGACACGUGGUAUCCUGUCUGAAUAUGGGGGGACCAUCCUCCAAGGCUAAAUACUCCUGACUGACCGAUAGUGAACCAGUACCGUGAGGGAAAGGCGAAAAGAACCCCGGCGAGGGGAGUGAAAAAGAACCUGAAACCGUGUACGUACAAGCAGUGGGAGCACGCUUAGGCAGUGUGACUGCGUACCUUUUGUAUAAUGGGUCAGCGACUUAUAUUCUGUAGCAAGGUUAACCGAAUAGGGGAGCCGAAGGGAAACCGAGUCUUAACUGGGCGUUAAGUUGCAGGGUAUAGACCCGAAACCCGGUGAUCUAGCCAUGGGCAGGUUGAAGGUUGGGUAACACUAACUGGAGGACCGAACCGACUAAUGUUGAAAAAUUAGCGGAUGACUUGUGGCUGGGGGUGAAAGGCCAAUCAAACCGGGAGAUAGCUGGUUCUCCCCGAAAGCUAUUUAGGUAGCGCCUCGUGAAUUCAUCUCCGGGGGUAGAGCACUGUUUCGGCAAGGGGGUCAUCCCGACUUACCAACCCGAUGCAAACUGCGAAUACCGGAGAAUGUUAUCACGGGAGACACACGGCGGGUGCUAACGUCCGUCGUGAAGAGGGAAACAACCCAGACCGCCAGCUAAGGUCCCAAAGUCAUGGUUAAGUGGGAAACGAUGUGGGAAGGCCCAGACAGCCAGGAUGUUGGCUUAGAAGCAGCCAUCAUUUAAAGAAAGCGUAAUAGCUCACUGGUCGAGUCGGCCUGCGCGGAAGAUGUAACGGGGCUAAACCAUGCACCGAAGCUGCGGCAGCGACGCUUAUGCGUUGUUGGGUAGGGGAGCGUUCUGUAAGCCUGUGAAGGUGUACUGUGAGGUAUGCUGGAGGUAUCAGAAGUGCGAAUGCUGACAUAAGUAACGAUAAAGCGGGUGAAAAGCCCGCUCGCCGGAAGACCAAGGGUUCCUGUCCAACGUUAAUCGGGGCAGGGUGAGUCGACCCCUAAGGCGAGGCCGAAAGGCGUAGUCGAUGGGAAACAGGUUAAUAUUCCUGUACUUGGUGUUACUGCGAAGGGGGGACGGAGAAGGCUAUGUUGGCCGGGCGACGGUUGUCCCGGUUUAAGCGUGUAGGCUGGUUUUCCAGGCAAAUCCGGAAAAUCAAGGCUGAGGCGUGAUGACGAGGCACUACGGUGCUGAAGCAACAAAUGCCCUGCUUCCAGGAAAAGCCUCUAAGCAUCAGGUAACAUCAAAUCGUACCCCAAACCGACACAGGUGGUCAGGUAGAGAAUACCAAGGCGCUUGAGAGAACUCGGGUGAAGGAACUAGGCAAAAUGGUGCCGUAACUUCGGGAGAAGGCACGCUGAUAUGUAGGUGAAGUCCCUCGCGGAUGGAGCUGAAAUCAGUCGAAGAUACCAGCUGGCUGCAACUGUUUAUUAAAAACACAGCACUGUGCAAACACGAAAGUGGACGUAUACGGUGUGACGCCUGCCCGGUGCCGGAAGGUUAAUUGAUGGGGUUAGCGCAAGCGAAGCUCUUGAUCGAAGCCCCGGUAAACGGCGGCCGUAACUAUAACGGUCCUAAGGUAGCGAAAUUCCUUGUCGGGUAAGUUCCGACCUGCACGAAUGGCGUAAUGAUGGCCAGGCUGUCUCCACCCGAGACUCAGUGAAAUUGAACUCGCUGUGAAGAUGCAGUGUACCCGCGGCAAGACGGAAAGACCCCGUGAACCUUUACUAUAGCUUGACACUGAACAUUGAGCCUUGAUGUGUAGGAUAGGUGGGAGGCUUUGAAGUGUGGACGCCAGUCUGCAUGGAGCCGACCUUGAAAUACCACCCUUUAAUGUUUGAUGUUCUAACGUGGACCCGUAAUCCGGGUUGCGGACAGUGUCUGGUGGGUAGUUUGACUGGGGCGGUCUCCUCCUAAAGAGUAACGGAGGAGCACGAAGGUUGGCUAAUCCUGGUCGGACAUCAGGAGGUUAGUGCAAUGGCAUAAGCCAGCUUGACUGCGAGCGUGACGGCGCGAGCAGGUGCGAAAGCAGGUCAUAGUGAUCCGGUGGUUCUGAAUGGAAGGGCCAUCGCUCAACGGAUAAAAGGUACUCCGGGGAUAACAGGCUGAUACCGCCCAAGAGUUCAUAUCGACGGCGGUGUUUGGCACCUCGAUGUCGGCUCAUCACAUCCUGGGGCUGAAGUAGGUCCCAAGGGUAUGGCUGUUCGCCAUUUAAAGUGGUACGCGAGCUGGGUUUAGAACGUCGUGAGACAGUUCGGUCCCUAUCUGCCGUGGGCGCUGGAGAACUGAGGGGGGCUGCUCCUAGUACGAGAGGACCGGAGUGGACGCAUCACUGGUGUUCGGGUUGUCAUGCCAAUGGCACUGCCCGGUAGCUAAAUGCGGAAGAGAUAAGUGCUGAAAGCAUCUAAGCACGAAACUUGCCCCGAGAUGAGUUCUCCCUGACUCCUUGAGAGUCCUGAAGGAACGUUGAAGACGACGACGUUGAUAGGCCGGGUGUGUAAGCGCAGCGAUGCGUUGAGCUAACCGGUACUAAUGAACCGUGAGGCUUAACC